UACGUAGGGUGCGAGCGUUGUCCGGAAUUAUUGGGCGUAAAGAGCUCGUAGGCGGUGUGUCACGUCGUUCGUGAAAACCUGCAGCUUAACUGUGGGCGUGCGGUCGAUACGGGCAUCACUGGAGUUCGGCAGGGGAGACUGGAAUUCCUGGUGUAGCGGUGAAAUGCGCAGAUAUCAGGAGGAACACCGGUGGCGAAGGCGGGUCUCUGGGCCGAUACUGACGCUGGAGGGAGCGAAAAGCGUGGGGGAGCAAAACAGG
rnacentral:rRNA from 1 species